CAAUGUAGAUUUUCUUAUUUGCCAUAUAUAAUCUCUAUUAUUUUGUUCAUAUGAGUAUUUAUAAUAUUUUAUAAUAAAAAGUCUCAUUUAUUAUAAAAUAAUAUAAUGUUGUAUUAUGAAUGAUACCAUUAGAAUGCCUUAAAUUGUUACUAAACUACUCCUAGUCCAUUCUAUAAUUAUUAUAAUAUUGAAAUACAUUAUAUUUUAUGUAGCUAUGAAAUAUAAUAAUUAAAUGUAAAAUGCUAAUAAUUAUUUAGUGAUGUGUUAAUAUCAUGUUAAUUAUAUAAAUUAUUCCUUUAAAAAUCUAGUUAUGUUAAUAUAUUUAAUACUAUGCCAAUAUUAUAUUAUAUAAUUAUUAUAUUAUUAGCAUUAGUAAUUAUAUUUAUUAUAUUAUGUUAUUAUAAAUUUGACAUGUUAUGGUAUUGGAGAAAUUAUUUGUAACAAAUUCAAAUAGUGGAUCAGAAUCAUUCAUUCCUGAUUAUUUCAGGAAACAGAUAUCCUGGAAUUAGAAAGCCAUUCUGAUUUUCAUUCUUGACAACCAAACAUGGGGUAGGAGCAUAAAUAGAGCAAGUUAUUGAGGCUAGAAAGAUGGUGAACUAAACAAUUGGAGCUGCACUUUUAACAUAACGAAGUAAAUUUUGCUUUGGCAUUAACUUGCUGGGACACCAGGGCAGCAUCCUACAGGUUUAACAAAAAACUCAGAGAUCAUCGCAGGCAAAUCCACAGUUCAAUAACGAGCAUAUAACAUUGAGUUUUUCUGCCACACCUGAACAAUUGAAAGGCAAGGCAGGAUGUAUCCGACUUCAACUGACCCCAGGCUAUGAGCUUUAUGGAACUGAAAGAACUACUGCAUGUUUGUAGGAAAACCGUUCAGGUGCUGUUCGCCGCAAAAGAUUAAAUUAAUAUCUUACAAAAGCAAUAGCCGGAUCAGCUGUGUGAGAUGAGGAAUCACUUUUUAUUCAAUUGUGACAAUGUUGUGCUCUUCAAAAUCAGCCCAUGUAUACAUAUAUUUAUAUAUAUGAGGCAACAAAAUUUGAUGCA